rnacentral:rRNA from 1 species
GUUUGAUCAUGGCUCAGGACGAACGCUGGCGGCGUGCCUAACACAUGCAAGUCAACGAGAAAGGGGUAGCAAUAUCCCGAGUAAAGUGGCGCACGGGUGAGUAACACGUAGGCAACCUGCCUUCAGGACGGGGACAACCCCGAGAAAUCGAGGCUAAUACCCGAUUACGUAAUGGUAUCGCAUGAUACCAUUGUUAAAGGCCUUCGGACGCCUGGAGAUGGGCCUGCGUCCCAUUAGGUAGUUGGUGAGGUAAAGGCUCACCAAGCCUGCGAUGGGUAGCUGGUCUGAGAGGAUGACCAGUCACACUGGAACUGAGACACGGUCCAGACUCCUACGGGAGGCAGCAGUGAGGAAUAUUGCGCAAUGGCCGAAAGGCUGACGCAGCGACGCCGCGUGGAGGAUGAAAUCCGUUAGGAUGUAACUCCUUUUGCCGGGGAAGAAUGUCCGCCUAUGGCGGAAGUGACGGUACCUGGCGAAUAAGGAUCGGCUAACUACGUGCCAGCAGCCGCGGUAAUACGU